CGGCUGGGCGCUCGAGACGGCGCCCCCAGAUCUCCCACCGGGCAGUGUCCCCAGCUGCAGCUGAGGAGAGAAGCGCCGGCGUGCGCGGUGCCACGUCGGAAUUGGCUCUGGGGACGCCGCAGCUGCCGAAGCGCAGCGCGCGGUCCCCACGCACGCCCUGCCUCCGGGCGGCCGGCGGGCUGGCCCGGCGAGGAGAGGAGGGAUGCGCGCCCUCCUCCCGCUCCUAUCUGCGGGUGCCACCGCCUGCGUCAGGGACCCCUGGCCCGAUCUUUCUGCCCCCGAUAACAGAAAAUCUCUUUUUCGUCUUAAAAAAAAAAAAAAAAAAAAAAAAAGCCUGUGGAAGACUCAGCAGAACCCAGGAAGCGCAGAAUUGGGAGAAAAGUCUUUGGCUGGGGCUGUUUCAAGUCUCUGGUUCAAUGGGCUGCUCGAAGCCAGGACUGGGAUCUUCUGAGGGGUGGACUUCUUUGGAACUCGACAGGACCUUGAAGACUGGGUUCUUAGUCCUUAUCACAUAUAUGGGCUAUAAUGAAUAAGUCUAAACAGAAAAGUCGAAUAAACUGGAAAUGAUGCUUUCA
rnacentral:lncRNA from 10 species